GGAAGAGGCAGGAGUGGCCCAAGUGUUCUCGCGCCGUGGUAGUUUUUCAAAGUUCUAGCUAGUUAGUCGUGUGUGCAAAGGUUACGAACGGUGUGUUAUCGUGUGUGCUGGUAGCUCAAAGCAGAUUCGUGACCACGCCGACACGACGCCCGACAACCCACACCGAACCAUCGAGGCCAUUCUUGACCCCACCAUCAGAUUGCGAGGUUCUCCCGGGGCACGCCGGAAGGGGGACGCGAUCGCCAAUCAACGCGCGCCCUAGGCAGGGCAUCACAGAAGAAGAAGAAGAAGAAGAGAGAAGGCAACCGUUUUUUCGUUCCGUUGGUGACGACCGACGGACAUCGACGCACGUGCCGCGUCGCGCCAAACCAAUCGAUGAGACCGUAAGUUUUUCUAUCCGGAGCAAAGCCAUCCGUAGGCAACAACCGCAGUCGCAGCAUCAUCAGCUAGCCCAGCUAGCCCAACCGCCAACCGCCGGCGAACCGCGAGUAAUCUACCGCCAUCCAUACCAUCCACCACAUGGACGCGCCGUCGUACUAGUCGUCGCG